rnacentral:other from 1 species
AGUCGUCUGGGAUGUUCGUAAGUUCGCUUUUUAUAUUUUGACCUAACACUCUUUGAUCAGGGAGUCUAAUUGGUUUUCUUGCAGCGCAUACGCCUCAAUGGAGGACGUGCUAAACAAGAAACAGGACACCCACCUGUAUAUAGCAGGCCAAAAUGAUCAAGCACUCAUAAACUACGGCAUUCAUGGAUUCUAU